rnacentral:rRNA from 1 species
GGGUUGUGAGGUUAAGCGACUAAGCGUACACGGUGGAUGCCCUGGCAGUCAGAGGCGAUGAAGGACGUGCUAAUCUGCGAAAAGCGUCGGUAAGGUGAUAUGAACCGUUAUAACCGGCGAUGUCCGAAUGGGGAAACCCAGUGCAAUUCGUUGCACUAUCGUUAACUGAAUACAUAGGUUAACGAGGCGAACCGGGGGAACUGAAACAUCUAAGUACCCCGAGGAAAAGAAAUCAACCGAGAUUCCCCCAGUAGCGGCGAGCGAACGGGGAGCAGCCCAGAGUCUGAAUCAGCUUGUGUGUUAGUGGAACGGUCUGGAAAGUCCGACGGUACAGGGUGAUAGUCCCGUACACCAAAAUGCACAGGCUGUGAACUCGAAGAGUAGGGCGGGACACGUGGUAUCCUGUCUGAAUAUGGGGGGACCAUCCUCCAAGGCUAAAUACUCCUGACUGACCGAUAGUGAACCAGUACCGUGAGGGAAAGGCGAAAAGAACCCCGGCGAGGGGAGUGAAAAAGAACCUGAAACCGUGUACGUACAAGCAGUGGGAGCACCUUCGGGUGUGACUGCGUACCUUUUGUAUAAUGGGUCAGCGACUUAUAUUCUGUAGCAAGGUUAACCGUAUAGGGGAGCCGCAGGGAAACCGAGUCUUAACUGGGCGUUAAGUUGCAGGGUAUAGACCCGAAACCCGGUGAUCUAGCCAUGGGCAGGUUGAAGGUUGGGUAACACUAACUGGAGGACCGAACCGACUAAUGUUGAAAAAUUAGCGGAUGACUUGUGGCUGGGGGUGAAAGGCCAAUCAAACCGGGAGAUAGCUGGUUCUCCCCGAAAGCUAUUUAGGUAGCGCCUCGUGAAUUCAUCUUCGGGGGUAGAGCACUGUUUCGGCUAGGGGGUCAUCCCGACUUACCAACCCGAUGCAAACUACGAAUACCGAAGAAUGUUAUCACGGGAGACACACGGCGGGUGCUAACGUCCGUCGUGAAGAGGGAAACAACCCAGACCGCCAGCUAAGGUCCCAAAGUCAUGGUUAAGUGGGAAACGAUGUGGGAAGGCACAGACAGCCAGGAUGUUGGCUUAGAAGCAGCCAUCAUUUAAAGAAAGCGUAAUAGCUCACUGGUCGAGUCGGCCUGCGCGGAAGAUGUAACGGGGCUAAACCAUGCACCGAAGCUGCGGCAGCGACACUAUGUGUUGUUGGGUAGGGGAGCGUUCUGUAAGCCUGCGAAGGUGUGCUGUGAGGCAUGCUGGAGGUAUCAGAAGUGCGAAUGCUGACAUAAGUAACGAUAAAGCGGGUGAAAAGCCCGCUCGCCGGAAGACCAAGGGUUCCUGUCCAACGUUAAUCGGGGCAGGGUGAGUCGACCCCUAAGGCGAGGCCGAAAGGCGUAGUCGAUGGGAAACAGGUUAAUAUUCCUGUACUUGGUGUUACUGCGAAGGGGGGACGGAGAAGGCUAUGUUAGCCGGGCGACGGUUGUCCCGGUUUAAGCAUGUAGGCUGAUUAUCCAGGCAAAUCCGGAUAAUCAAGGCUGAGGUGUGAUGACGAGGCACUACGGUGCUGAAGUAACAAAUGCCCUGCUUCCAGGAAAAGCCUCUAAGCAUCAGGUAACAUCAAAUCGUACCCCAAACCGACACAGGUGGUCAGGUAGAGAAUACCAAGGCGCUUGAGAGAACUCGGGUGAAGGAACUAGGCAAAAUGGUGCCGUAACUUCGGGAGAAGGCACGCUGGUGUGUAGGUGAAGCCCCUGCGGGUGGAGCUGAGACCAGUCGAAGAUACCAGCUGGCUGCAACUGUUUAUUAAAAACACAGCACUGUGCAAACACGAAAGUGGACGUAUACGGUGUGACGCCUGCCCGGUGCCGGAAGGUUAAUUGAUGGGGUUAUCCGUAAGGAGAAGCUCUUGAUCGAAGCCCCGGUAAACGGCGGCCGUAACUAUAACGGUCCUAAGGUAGCGAAAUUCCUUGUCGGGUAAGUUCCGACCUGCACGAAUGGCGUAAUGAUGGCCAGGCUGUCUCCACCCGAGACUCAGUGAAAUUGAACUCGCUGUGAAGAUGCAGUGUACCCGCGGCAAGACGGAAAGACCCCGUGAACCUUUACUAUAGCUUGACACUGAACAUUGAGCCUUGAUGUGUAGGAUAGGUGGGAGGCUUUGAAGCGUGGACGCCAGUCUGCGUGGAGCCAACCUUGAAAUACCACCCUUUAAUGUUUGAUGUUCUAACGUUGGCCCCUUACCGGGGUUGCGGACAGUGUCUGGUGGGUAGUUUGACUGGGGCGGUCUCCUCCCAAAGCGUAACGGAGGAGCACGAAGGUUAGCUAAUCCUGGUCGGACAUCAGGAGGUUAGUGCAAUGGCAUAAGCUAGCUUGACUGCGAGCGUGACGGCGCGAGCAGGUGCGAAAGCAGGUCAUAGUGAUCCGGUGGUUCUGAAUGGAAGGGCCAUCGCUCAACGGAUAAAAGGUACUCCGGGGAUAACAGGCUGAUACCGCCCAAGAGUUCAUAUCGACGGCGGUGUUUGGCACCUCGAUGUCGGCUCAUCACAUCCUGGGGCUGAAGUAGGUCCCAAGGGUAUGGCUGUUCGCCAUUUAAAGUGGUACGCGAGCUGGGUUUAGAACGUCGUGAGACAGUUCGGUCCCUAUCUGCCGUGGGCGCUGGAGAAUUGAGGGGGGCUGCUCCUAGUACGAGAGGACCGGAGUGGACGCAUCACUGGUGUUCGGGUUGUCAUGCCAAUGGCACUGCCCGGUAGCUAAAUGCGGAAGAGAUAAGUGCUGAAAGCAUCUAAGCACGAAACUUGCCCCGAGAUGAGUUCUCCCUGAGACUUUAAGUCUCCUGAAGGAACGUUGAAGACGACGACGUUGAUAGGCCGGGUGUGUAAGCGCAGCGAUGCGUUGAGCUAACCGGUACUAAUGAACCGUGAGGCUUAACCUUACAACGCCGAAG